UACAGAGGUCUCAAGCGUUGUUCGGAUUCAUUGGGCGUAAAGGGUGCGUAGGCGGCCAACUAAGUCGGAUGUGAAAUCCCCAGGCUCAACUUGGGAACUGCAUCCGAUACUGGAUGGCUUGAAUUCGGGAGAGGGAUGCAGAAUUCCAGGUGUAGCGGUGAAAUGCGUAGAUAUCUGGAGGAAUACCGGUGGCGAAGGCGGCUACCUGGACAGUGACUGACGCUGAGACGCGAAGGCAUGGGUAGCAAACAGG
rnacentral:rRNA from 1 species